rnacentral:rRNA from 1 species
ACAUGUGUCAGUAUAAAUAUUUAGACUUUGAAACUGCAAAUGGCUCAUUAUAUCAGUUAUAGUUUAUUUGAUGAACAAUACUACUUGGAUAACCGUAGUAAUUCUAGAGCUAAUACAUGAUAAAAUCCUCGACUUUGAAGAGGUGUAUUUAUUAGAAUGAAACCAAGAGACUUCGGUCUAUUUGUGAGUAAUAAUAACUAAUCGUAUCGCAUGCUUAGGUAGCGAUAUGUCUUUCAAGUUUCUGCCCUAUCAGCUUUGGAUGGUAGUGUAUUGGACUACCAUGGCAGUAACGGGUAACGAAGAAUUUGGGUUCGAUUUCGGAGAGGGAGCCUGAGAGAUGGCUACCACAUCCAAGGAAGGCAGCAGGCGCGUAAAUUACCCAAUCCUGACAUAGGGAGGUAGUGACAAUAAAUCACAAUGCGGAACUAUUAGUUUUGCAAUUGGAUUGAGAACAAUGUACAAAUGUUAUCGAUAAACAAUUGGAGGGCAAGUCUGGUGCCAGCAGCCGCGGUAAUUCCAGCUCCAAUAGCGUAUAUUAACGUUGUUGCAGUAAAAAAAGCUCAAAA